rnacentral:rRNA from 1 species
GACGAACGCUGGCGGCGUGCUUAACACAUGCAAGUCGAACGGAAAGGCCCUGCUUGCAGGGUACUCGAGUGGCGAACGGGUGAGUAACACGUGGGUGAUCUGCCCUGCACUUCGGGAUAAGCCUGGGAAGCUGGGUCUAAUACCGGAUAGGAGCCAUUUUUAGUGUGAUGGUUGGAAAGUUUUUUCGGUGUAGGAUGAGCUCGCGGCCUAUCAGCUUGUUGGUGGGGUAAUGGCCUACCAAGGCGGCGACGGGGAGCCGGCCUGAGAGGGUGGACGGCCACAUUGGGACUGAGAUACGGCCCAGACUCCUACGGGAGGCAGCAGUGGGGAAUAUUGCACAAUGGGCGCAAGCCUGAUGCAGCGACGCCGCGUGGGGGAUGACGGCCUUCGGGUUGUAAACUCCUUUCGCUAGGGACGAAGCUUUUUGUGACGGUACCUAGAGAAGAAGCACCGGCUAACUACGUG